GAAAUGCGAUAAGUAGUGUGAAUUGCAGAAUUCAGUGAAUCAUCGAAUCUUUGAACGCACAUUGCGCCCCUUGGUAUUCCAUGGGGCAUGCCUGUUCGAGCGUCAUUUGUACCCUCAAGCUCUGCUUGGUGUUGGGUGUUUGUCCCCGUCUCCGCGCGUGGACUCGCCCCAAAGUGAUUGGCAGCCAGCGUACUGGUCCCGGAGCGCAGCACAUGUCGCGCAAACGAGUGCCUUGGUACGGCGGCGUCCAUAAGCCCCUCUCUCACGCUCUUGACCUCGGAUCAGGUAGGGAUACCCGCUGAACUUAAGC
rnacentral:misc_RNA from 1 species